rnacentral:rRNA from 1 species
CUCCUUUGACGUUAGCGGCGGACGGGUGAGUAACACGUGGGUAACCUACCUAUAAGACUGGGAUAACUUCGGGAAACCGGAGCUAAUACCGGAUAAUAUUUCGAACCGCAUGGUUCGAUAGUGAAAGGUGGUUUUGCUAUCACUUAUAGAUGGACCCGCGCCGUAUUAGCCAGUUGGUAAGGUAACGGCUUACCAAGGCGACGAUACGUAGCCGACCUGAGAGGGUGAUCGGCCACACUGGAACUGAGACACGGUCCAGACUCCUACGGGAGGCAGCAGCC